rnacentral:sRNA from 1 species
CCCACGUGUUCCGACCCGCUAGGCCCCGCGCGGCUCGGAUCCGGCGGCGCUGUUUCGGUCGGGAGUGGGUGGGAGAGAAGCCGGGGCAGGGGAGGAGCCGCCGGAGCUGUCGGAGCCGUGACACCCAGGGCAGCUACACUCAGAAGCCACAAGGAAUGCUAGCGGAGCCCCUCAUCCCUUCCAGCUUCUCUUCCAAGCUGCCCCGUGGGGCUUGAUCCAGGAAGCUACUUCAGAAAGCUAUACCCUUUUUGUACUCUGUGUAUAUACUAUAUUGCAGUAGACAAUCAUUCCAAGGGUACAACAAGGUUUACUACAAUGUGAGGGACUCAGCCAUUGCAAAUUGUACAGAUGAAUCUUCAGUGGAAACCUGGUACUCCUCAGAUUCCUCUGGUUCACCAGGCGGGGAUCCCAUCCUUUAUCGUCUCCUCAAAUGCUAAGGGAGCCUUGAGCAAAGCCAGCAGGAAGUCAUCUAGACAUGAAACGGGGUAUCCACACAGGCUGUGUUAAUGACAAAGCUAAAAACGGAGUAAAUGACUUCUGAAUUUACUGCCAUUGUGAAUUAUCUAUAGCAACACCUCAGGUCAGCUUUAUUAUAUACGUUACUGUGUUAUUUCCCAUUAAAAGAUGGUUCAUCCGAC